UUACACAAUAAAAUAUGAAGGCCUGGCUUCGCGGCCGGCUGAAAUAUUUUUUCACCCAUGUCUUUUGCGCACUUGUUGUUUCCUGGGCGGGUUCGCCCGCCACCAGGACCAAACCAUAAACCUUUUUCUUAUGCAGUUUCCAUCAGCGUCAGUAAAAACAAUGUAAUAAUUACAACUUUCAACAACGGAUCUCUUGGUUCUGGCAUCGAUGAAGAACGCAGCGAAAUGCGAUACGUAGUGUGAAUUGCAGAAUUCAGUGAAUCAUCGAAUCUUUGAACGCACAUUGCGCCCUUUGGUAUUCCAAAGGGCAUGCCUGUUCGAGCGUCAUUUGUACCUUCAAGCUUUGCUUGGUGUUGGGCGUUUUUGUCUCCCUCUUUCUGGGAGACUCGCCUUAAAACGAUUGGCAGCCGGCCUACUGGUUUCGGAGCGCAGCACAUUUUUUGCGCUUUGUAUCAGGAGAAAAGGACGGUACUCCAUCAAGACUUUUACAAUUUUAACUUUUGACCUCGGAUCAGGUAGGGAUACCCGCUGAACUUAAGCAUAUCAAUAA
rnacentral:sRNA from 1 species